AAGCAGCCAAGAACUUGUUUUACGACAUUAAAGAAGUGCACCGAAAUUUAAAUUUGCAGUAAUUUGAGCCUUCUGCUACUAUGUGUCAGUCACAGCUGCCUGACUGGAGAUCCAGGUAGUCCUGAGCAGGAAAGAAUGGUGGGAGAAGCAAACCAACAGCAGAACCGAAGAGGCUGCUCAGGCCAGCCUCCUUCCCAAAAUGGGAAACAGUCUGUAGCUUCUGCAGUCUUACACAUACCGGUACCUUAAAUGAUGAACCUGAGACAGACCCCAUGACAUCACAAGCUAAUCUUGCUUUUGGAGAACUGCUGCGAAGAUCACAAAAAUACUAUCUUGCUGACUGCAGCGGGAAGCUUUGCUUGGUAUUCUGGUAGAGAACACAGAGACUGAAGAAGCGCCUUGUACUUCUCACCUCUAGUAAUGGAUUUUCCAAGUUAGUGUUAGAGCACUGUCAAUGACCCCUGAGGUUUUCAUACUAAGGAGAAACUGGAGUUACUGAGACAAUGGUUUCCCUAGUGCCUGUGUCAAGGAUCAAAGCCAUUAAUUUUUAAAGAAAAGUUUCUAUUAUUGAAAGUAUUUAAUUACAAUAUUAAACAACCCUAUUUCUAAAUAUACUUGUGGCCCUAUUUCUCCAAAAGAUUCUGUUCAGAACAAUGUCAAAAAGCACACAGUUAUUGUUUUCAUGCCGAGUUCACAAGAUUCAUAUCGAGAUCACUCAGACCCAAACUAUACACAUUUCUCUUACAGAAUAUAAUGACAUCUUUCAAAAGAGUUUCCAUUUUAUAAAUGGACUCUUUUUCUAAGAACUGUAACUUUAUUUUCACUUGCUUUUAGGAGUCUAAAGACUCAAACAGUGAUAACCGUUUAGAAAUCUACUGUUAUUUUCAACACAACUAAAUUCUUAUAUUUUACAGUCUUAUUGGACAUCUCUCUUAACUGAUGUAUAUUUUAAGUGUUGUUGGUAGAAAUUUGUAUUCGGUUUAGUAGCAUAAUUUUUUUUAUUUUCUCCUUUAACUUUUCAGAUGCUGGUAAUCCUUUGUGUAAUAACAGGUUAAUUGUUUGCCAGCUAUAUAUAUAUGGCAAGAUGCCCAGUAUCAGCUGAGCUGUGAAAACGAAAGUAUCAAAAUAUCCCCAUGUGUGAACUCUGCAAGAAACAAAUAUUACCCACCACUUAAAAAGAAAAAAAAACAAACAUAAACCAACAAAACCCAACACCCUUAGUGAGGAAAGCUUUGGUCUUCCGAAAUGAGUGUAAGGGAAAAAUCAUCAUAAGCAAAUUUUACCCUGUCAGAGAAUUCUCAUCUAAUUUAUUCUGUUUACAGAUUUGGUCUAAUAACGAUUAUAUCUCACACCUCUUCGUAAAAUAUUCUGAGAUUUACUGAUGAAAAGUGCUAAGGAAUAAAAUAAUAUUUAUCUACUGUACAGUUAUAGUAUCAUAAUUUUUAUAGUUUGUAUAGUUUUCUGUGAUAAUUUAUUAAUGUCUUGCUUAUGAUUACAGUUAAGACUGAAUUCAUUCUUUUGAACCUAUGAAUAAAAUGUAUAACUUUUUUAACUACUUGCUCAGAUCCUCCCAUAUCCAGUUAGUCUACCAUCACCCCCGUCAUAGCUCCCAGAGAGCAUGUACAACUGUUAAGAAAAUAUUUUUAUUUUCUGAAAAUGUACCAUCAGCAUAAUUUACAAAGAUUAAUCUACUAAUAUAGAUGUUUAACUACCUGUCAGUCAGUACAAGAUGGUUUGAUAUAACAUGACUUUCCAAAUAUAUUUCCUGUUUGUCUCUUCUGUUCCCCAGAAGGA